rnacentral:rRNA from 1 species
AUUGAACGCUGGCGGCAGGCCUAACACAUGCAAGUCGAGCGGUAGCACAGAGAGCUUGCUCUCGGGUGACGAGCGGCGGACGGGUGAGUAAUGUCUGGGAAACUGCCUGAUGGAGGGGGAUAACUACUGGAAACGGUAGCUAAUACCGCAUAACGUCGCAAGACCAAAGAGGGGGACCUUCGGGCCUCUUGCCAUCAGAUGUGCCCAGAUGGGAGUAGCUAGUAGGUGGGGUAACAGCUCACCUAGGCGACGAUCCCUAGCUGGUCUGAGAGGAUGACCGGCCAGACUGGAACUGAGACACGGUCCAGACUCCUACGGGAGGCAGCAGUGGGGAAUAUUGCACAAUGGGCGCAAGCCUGAUGCAGCCAUGCCGCGUGUAUGAAGAAGGCCUUCGGGUUGUAAAGUACUUUCAGCGGGGAGGAAGGUGUUGAGGUUAAUAACCUCAGCAAUUGACGUUACCCGCAGAAGAAGCACCGGCUAACUCCGUGCCAGCAGCCGCAGUAA